UCGGUGGUGGAUUAGUGGCGAACGGGUGAGUAACACGUGGGCAAUCUGCCCUGCACUCUGGGACAAGCCCUGGAAACGGGGUCUAAUACCGGAUAUGACACGGGGAGGCAUCUUCUUCGUGUGGAAAGCUCCGGCGGUGCAGGAUGAGCCCGCGGCCUAUCAGCUUGUUGGUGGGGUAAUGGCCUACCAAGGCGACGACGGGUAGCCGGCCUGAGAGGGCGACCGGCCACACUGGGACUGAGACACGGCCCAGACUCCUACGGGAGGCAGCAGUGGGGAAUAUUGCACAAUGGGCGCAAGCCUGAUGCAGCGACGCCGCGUGAGGGAUGACGGCCUUCGGGUUGUAAACCUCUUUCAGCAGGGAAGAAGCGCAAGUGACGGUACCUGCAGAAGAAGCACCGGCUAACUACGUGCCAGCAGCCGCGGUAAUACGUAGGGUGCGAGCGUUGUCCGGAAUUAUUGGGCGUAAAGAGCUCGUAGGCGGCUUGUCGCGUCGGAUGUGAAAGCCCGGGGCUUAACCCCGGGUCUGCAUUCGAUACGGGCAGGCUAGAGUUCGGUAGGGGAGAUCGGAAUUCCUGGUGUAGCGGUGAAAUGCGCAGAUAUCAGGAGGAACACCGGUGGCGAAGGCGGAUCUCUGGGCCGAUACUGACGCUGAGGAGCGAAAGCGUGGGGGAGCGAACAGGAUUAGAUACCCUGGUAGUCCACGCCGUAAACGUUGGGAACUAGGUGUGGGUGGCAUUCCAC
rnacentral:rRNA from 1 species